AGGUGGUGCGGGAGUACUUCACCCGGACGGUCUCGCGCAUCGAGGGCGUCGGACUCGACGAACUGGCCGAGGAGGUGCGUAUCCGCCACCACCGG
rnacentral:tRNA from 2 species